CCUACGGGUGGCAGCAGUGGGGAAUAUUGCACAAUGGGGGAAACCCUGAUGCAGCGACGCCGCGUGAGUGAAGAAGGAAUUCGGGAUGUUAAGCUCUAUCAGCAGGGAAGAAAAUGACGAUACCUGAGUAAGAAGCCCCGGAUAACUACGUGCCAGCAGCCGCGGUAAUACGGAGGGGGCAAGCGUUAUCCGGAUUUACUGGGGGUAACGUGAGCGUAGACGGCAGUGCAAGUCUGGAGUGAAAAGUGCGGGCUCAAACCCCGGACUGCGCUGGAAACUGGACGGCUGGAGUGCAGGAGAGGUAAGUGGAAGUCCUAGUGUAGCGGUGAAAUGCGUAGAUAUUAGGAGGAACACCAGUGGCGAAGGCGGCUUACUGGA
rnacentral:rRNA from 1 species